rnacentral:lncRNA from 1 species
GCAGUUCCAGCACAUAGGAAACGACAUUUAGAAUGAACUAAUUACCAAAUCUCGUACUAAAUUUGACCAAUAAAUCGAAUGCAAAUAAUCAAUUAUUACGAACUAAUGAAACUAGUCCUUAAUUGAAACUUCCAUCCACUUACACUUGCAAGAACAAAAAAUUCUAUUAACACCUAAAUUUCACUAACAAUAGCACAAUAGGAAUUAACUCGAUAUAAAUCAAUAAAAAACCAAAAAAUGAAAAAUCGCAUUCACCCUUCAUAAC